rnacentral:rRNA from 1 species
UUCUAGCUCAGGAUGAACGCUAGCGACAGGCUAACACAUGCAAGUCGAGGGGCAGCACGGGAGUAGCAAUACAACUGGUGGCGACCGGCGCACGGGUGAGUAACGCGUAUGCAACCUACCUAUCAGAGGGGAAUAACCCGGCGAAAGUCGGACUAAUACCGCAUAAAACAGGGGCACCGCAUGGUGAUAUUUGUUAAAGAAAUUCGCUGAUAGAUGGGCAUGCGUUCCAUUAGGUAGUUGGUGAGGUAACGGCUCACCAAGCCGACGAUGGAUAGGGGAACUGAGAGGUUGGUCCCCCACACUGGUACUGAGACACGGACCAGACUCCUACGGGAGGCAGCAGUGAGGAAUAUUGGUCAAUGGGCGGGAGCCUGAACCAGCCAAGUCGCCGUGAAGGAAGAAGGAUCUAUGGUUCGUAAACUUCUUUUGCAGGGGAAUAAAGUGCAGGACGUGUCCUGUUUUGUAUGUACCCUGAGAAUAAGGAUCGGCUAACUCCGUGCCAGCAGCCGC